rnacentral:misc_RNA from 1 species
GAUGAAGAACGCAGUGAAAUGCGAUAAGUAAUGUGAAUUGCAGAAUUCAGUGAAUCAUCGAAUCUUUGAACGCACCUUGCGCCCUUUGGCCAUUCCGAAGGGCAUGCCUGUUUGAGUAUCAUGAACACCUCAACUCUUUAUGGUUUUCCAUGAUGAGCUUGGACUUUGGGGGUUUUGCUGGCCUAUGGUCGGCUCCUCUAAAAUAAAUCAGCUUACCAGUGUUUGGUGGGUAUCAUGGGUGUGAUAACUAUCUACGCUUGUGGUUUUUCCGCCAGGUAACCUUCGACAGCGGAGGUUCACUGGAGCUCAUAGAUGUCUCUCCUCAGCGAGGACAGCCCUUUGAAUGUUUGAUCUCAAAUCAGGUAGGACUACCCGCUGAACUUAAGCAUAUCAAUAAGCGGAGGA